AGCAGCCCUUGGAUGAAUCCCCAAAGACUAAGUCAAAGAUCCUAUGGCUCUCAUCUUAAUGACCUCAAUUUUAUUUUUAUCAGAUUUGUGGAUGGAUGAUCUUUUGAGUUUUAUCUCUUGGACCCAGGAGCAUUGCUUAAAAUGUGGUGUGGUUUAGCUUACUGCUUUGGUACUGUGCAAGUAGGGUUUUCAUUAUCAUUUGAGACAGAUAGAUAUACUUUUGAUAUUCCCACACCCACAAUACAAUCUACAUAAAAGGACUAUUUCCAGAUUAUAAGCAAUGCUGAAGUUCCCAGGAAGCCUAUUAGGGAUUUCUCAGAGUAGAUAUCACUAAUGAAAGACACAUCUUCCUCAUGUUCAGUUUGUCUAUCCUUACAUAGCAUUCUUCUGAAAUGAGCAGAGCAGAACUUGACACAUUUCUAGGCCUUGUUUUUGCUCCACAUGAACCAACAGCAUGUGCUAGCGCCUCGGGAUCCUCUGCAAUGGAUGACAGUUCCGUGGUAAAGUUGCAGGGGAUCCUUGGCAAACAGAUCCACAUGGAAAUGCUCCCUUGAGAAUAAGAAGUGUUUAAAAAGCAAAUUAAGAGGUUGUUAUCCGAGAGCUGAAACACUGAGAUAUGAUGAGGAAGAGCAGAACAGGAAUACUUUUCUGGUAUGUCCCUUCAUACAAACACAGAUGUACAACUCUGGAACACCAGGAACAAAGACAAGAGGACAAGAGGUUCUUAAAGCAAAUGUUAGAGAAGAGAUAUAAGAUCUUCACUCUUCACUCAGUUCCAUCCUCCAUCCACUGAGCAGAAACUGUUUUAAUCGAGAAGGGGCACUGCAUUGCCUGCAAACACCCACUGCCUUCAUUGGAAAAGCUUUUCAGUGUCUGGUGCCUCCUUCCUUCCCAGAGUGACAGGUCUACAAAGGCCUCAGAAAGUGUGUUUUGCCAAGCAGGGGCCGACCCUCAGAGAGCAAAGGUCACCCCAAGUUCAUCCUGGUGCUAAUUAAAAUCGUCUUCAUGCUCUUGAUCAAAUAUCACUUCACUGACUCUCUCUCAGUCUGUCAUUUGCAUGCAUCUCAUUGUGGAAUCUGAGCAACAGACACCAUAAGACCUUCUUGUCUGAGCAGGGAAAACGAUGUCCAUCUCUUUGAAAAGUGACGGUGACAUUUCCCAUCCUGUAGAGUGGAUGUUGAAAAUCGCCACUGGUGUCAUUGUCAUCAUCAUAACCAUCACCAUCAAAUAAAUGGCACAAUCUGCUCAAAAUACCACAGAGAUACAUCUAUUUGUGGAGUGCUCCUGGCACAAGGAGUUGUGCGUGUUCAUUUACAUAUUGAAAUAUUCACAUUCCACACCUUUUUGUCCACAAGGUGGGGAUCCUCCCCUCAAAAAAUGUAACUAAAAAACCUCAAUAAAUGAAAACAGAUAAUUUAACAGAAUAAGGCAACAUAUGAGAGUAACCAGAACUGAGGAAACACAGAACAGAGGGGAUUGCAAAUUCUUCUUGGGAUAUCCCAUAUAUUGGGCUACUACAAGCAAUGAUCUGGCUUUCUGCACUUCUUUUCUACCACCUAUUGAUGCGAAGCAGUACAGAUCAAAUCCUCGCUUCUUGUAUCUGAUUUUAUCACUUCCAUUCCACUGUAACAAUUCUAGCCUGCAAUGGAUCCAUGUUUGCCUUACGUGCUGUGCAAUUAAAAUACUCCUGACUCGUGCAGCGCCUUUGCUUCUGUGAGUGCUUAAUUGAAGUGAUGUAGCCCUCUGGCAUCUCCAUGAGGUUGGGGGAGGCUGGGCACCCUUUCCAUUUCGAAGGUGUGACACGACCAAAGGCCAUGGAGAUGAAAUGAUUUGCCUGAGAGCAGACUUUGUUGUCUGAAACAGACGCAGUAACUUAGUUCAUAUCUGAAAUUUACAUGCCUUUCUUUUAAAAUUCUGAUACAGCCCCGAGCAGAUAUUUACAUGUUUCUAGACAGAAGUCCUCCUGCCCUACAGAAAGCCCUUUCUCUCUUUGUAAGCAUUCAUUUAUCUCAAAGUAAUUGAUCCUCAUGAAGUUUCUUUGGAAUAAAGAGUAAAGUAAAAACAAAAUGUGGAGAGAGCUGUGACUUGUAGAUAUGAAUUCAGACAGGGAUGGAUGGCUUGUGUCCGUAGGUCACAGCUGGUAACAGUGGGUGACAAAUGGAUGCAUUGGCUCAGAAAAAUCCUAAAGUAAGAAUGGAAGUGCCCGUAUCAUUCCCCGCCCCCCCAGUAGGAAGUAAGCUUUUGCAGAUCUAUAGUGUACCUUCAGGGGUUCCCAAUAUGGUAUCUGCAGGUGCCAAUGUGUCCAUUGGUACCUGCAAUGGUGCUCAUAUAAGGUCUCAGUAAGCAUUUUUUAAAAACCCAAACCCAUGAGACUAUUGCUUUUCCUGCUCCAUUCCUGCUUGCACAGCCACAGCCUCUCACUUUAUCAUUUUUCCAAAUUCUCCACAUUUCAAGAUCUGUUCACAGGGUGUGGUGUGUGUGUGUUUUAAAAAGGUCCUCAUAAUAAUUCACCAGCGUUUUAGUGCAAAUUUCUCCUAAUAUACACAAUUGUAUGCAAAUCUGCACGUUUGCAAAGUGAUCUUCCCUAAUAUACACAUUUCCGCAAGUUAUUUUUUGCUAAUAUAUGCAUUUGCACGCACAUUUUACUUUAGUAUAUGCAUAGUAUAUGCAUUUUUGCUUUGUACACAUGGCUGUGUACACAUUGUACACAAAUGCAAAAUUUGGAGACCUGCAGAUUUCAAAGGUGCUUUGGCUCUCGGUUUGUUUUGGGAUGUGUGAAGUUGGCCUUUGAAUGUGAACUGAAUCCACUCCAUCCCUGUCUGAAUGAGCACCUCUUUGCUUCCACUUAUGGUCUGGUUGUGUAUUUGUAACUAUAGCAAAUAAUCCCAAAUAAAUCUCUUGAGUGCUUUCCCCAUCCAAAGGCAAUUAAACCUGGCUGUACUGUCCACUGAACUUUGUACCAUGUAUGGAAGUGAGGAAUAUGCAACAAUUACCUUUAGGAAAUCCUUAUGUUUCUGAUUAUUGUUUUUCAGCUACCACUGGAUGCCUAAUUAUUAUGCCAGAAAUGUGCCAUGCACUCCUCUUACGCUUGCCUCCUUACUGGAAGCAGUAUCAAUUUUUCAGUUUCCUUUUGCUCCCUUUUUUGUUUCCCCCUGACAGGGAUAGUGUUCGGUAAAUGUACCAGCCUCUGAACCUGUACUCAGACAAGGCUUGGCUUGAGGGAGGAAAACUCUUCUUCCUGUGUUUCAGACUCCACAUGUCCUCAGGAAUACAUCCUUCUCUUGCCAGCUCGCUAGUUCUAAACAUUCAGGGGCUACACUUUUAAAGCGGUAAAUGAAUCUGUGCGCUACUAACUGCUUCCCGAGGCACCAAACCCUUUGCUUAAAAAACAAGGGGAGAGGAAGGUUAAGCUGUGACUUGGGCUGAAAUAUAAUGAAGUAUAAUAAAAAUACAGUCCUGAAAAAGGCUCUUAGUUGAGGACCCUUCUAUGAUUCUUAAAAUACACUGGGGUUUUUUGUGCAGUUUAAUUUUCAUUAUACCUUGUGAGGAAUCAGUCUUUUAGUGUGGUAGCACCUGCACUCCAGAACUCUCUGUCUAUUGAUAUCUGGCAAGUUUUUUCAUUGUAUUAUUUUUGAUAACUGCUAAAUGCAUUAUUUUUUUGUUUCAUUUAGGCAAGCCUAUCCAAACAUGUCAUUUUAUCAUGCAUAGUUGUUUAUAAGAUGGCUAAUUUUAAUCUAGAUUUUGAUAAUUUUCAUUAUGUCUACUUGUUUUAAAAGUCUGUUGAUUUUAUCUAUAAUUUAUUAUAAAUAUAUUAUAGAGAUUGUCUUUUAAAGAUUAAUAAGCGGUUAUAAGCAGUUAUAUAAAUUUUGUCAGACAAAUAUAAAUAAAUUACAUCUAAGAAUAGGACAUUGGCUGUGUAAAUUAUUACUGGAGCUAGAACUGGCUGCCCCUGUCAUCUGGGUGGCAGUGAGAGACAGGGCUUCCUUGGUGGUGGCACCCCUGUUAUGGAAUGCUAUCCCCUGGAAAGUUCAUCUGGGUCCACCUGGUAUAUUUUCAGGGCCAGGCAAAACCAUUGCAUUCUUGAAAGCAUAAGCAGCUCCCUCACUGGGACACAGCAGCUGCACUAGUUUUCCAGUAGGUGAGUCGCUGCUGUUUACCUGGAGCACGAGGCAACAAGGAAGUAGACAUGGUGGACACACACACUGGCAGAGCCAAUCCUGUGCUCUUGUCAGAGUCUUUGCACUGCGCUGACCUCCCAGCUGCUUCAUCCCUCCCCUCCCAUCUGCUCGGAAGCUAGCACAUGUGCUCUGACCCACCUGACCAGCUGCCCCUGCUCCUUUUAAAUCAUUUGCCACACUUCCUGAAAUUUGUUGAUAUUUUUCAGCUCCUGAUCUUUUUUGUACUAGUCUUUUUUUUAUCUUGUCAACAUUUUUAAAAAAAUAUUUUAUUUGCAUUUCCCUUUUAUGCAUCUCUAAAGCCAUCCUGGAUGUUUGAAGGUGAGAUUAAAAACACACUCCCAAUUAAAUAAGUAAUGCAGCAUCGCCUGAGCUCUGCGAUUGCAGCUUUCUCCCAAUUGAAGUGCAAAGUGUUUGAUGACCGGUACAUUUGCAGGGAAACCAAAAUGCUUGUUUACAAAGCUAUUGUACUACCAACCUUACUGUAUGCUUGUGAAACAUGGACCACUUAUAAACACCAUCUCCAGCUCCUCGAAAGAUUCCAUCAAUGGUGUCUCUGAAACUUUUUACACAUCACUUGGGAAGACAGUGAUCAC